GGAAAAAGCCGAGUCUCACAAUUUCUUUCCUCUGCAUGUUUUUUUAGGGCUUUGUUGUUGUGAAUAAUAUGCUUACUUUAUUUGCAGAAAUGUUUUCGUAUGAUCGGUGGUUAUCGUUUAUUUUUGCAUACAGACGAUGGAUGUUACUUCUCGCAAUCGAAACCAGUUUAGGUGAUUUUCUCUCCUUCUUAUUGUAUUGUAAAUAUUAUUUCUGAAAAUGUCAAGGUAGCACCAUAGCAAAGCAUUAAGCUCUGCUGAAAAUAUUUUUAAUAUUGUAAACAAGUCUCUGUCUUACUACAAUCGUCUCCGAGACAGCGUAAAACGAUCCAUUGUUUUAAGUGUGUUCAUGUUUAUGAUUGUGAAAGUGUUGUUGUCAACAAGUUCGCAUUGAAUAUAUAACUCUUUCACUCUGGAAUAUAUACCAAAAUCAUAUUUGCUAUGGCUCUGGAAUAUGGUUUUCCAUACACAUGGUACCCUCGAUGACGCACCUGUUGCUGUUGUAAAUAUUAUUGCUGCCAUUUUGGAAAAAAGAAGAAAAGAAGUCUUUGAAAAAUCGUGUGAAAUCAUAUUUCUAAAAAUAUAUUAAAGAAUGAAUAUGGAUAUCAAAAAUAACCGUGAUUUUCCAGAAUUAUUAGAAAAAAAUACGUAUACUUAAUACUGCCAAUUGGUAUUAUUUUUCAAAUAUCGCCUUCUAUUGUUGGAGUUUCUGGGUUUGGUCAAGAUCUAUAUAGAGCAAGGCCAAACUCUCAUCAUUUUAUGUUUUUUUUCUCUCCUAUUGUUUUACUAUUUUGUAUUCUUGGUUGAUUGGUUUUAUACUUUUUGGUUGUUGGUGAUAUAUCCUCCCAAUGAAAGAUGAAACGAUGAA